AUAGAUUGCCCCAGGAAUGUUUCACAUCGCGGGAUAUUUUACUUUUUGAUCAGACGAACACCGAAAUGCUUUUAGUAAGGAGCUCUAUCCGGAAGAAAUGUUUAUUGACAUAUAUUAUUUAAAAUGCUUCAGACCUUAAACAACCUUCGGCCGAACUAAUGGGAGGAACAAAAGGGUCCACAGCGAUUUCCGUGAGAGCGUAAACGAUAUAUCAGCGACGACUAGCAGCGCCGGUUAAACAUCAUCGGCAAUAAAGCAUGCUUUGCAUCGAGCGAACAGUUGCCUUUAGUCUGCAUUCGGAUUAAGGGGAGGGGUGGAUUAAAAGUGAAAAUAACGUUCUGGAUCUCUUUAACGCUAAACAUCAGAACGGAACAAGCAAUGGAAAAGCUUCGAGCGUAUUACGCGAAUUAGUGUCGUUUCCACCCUUGCAGCUCGUCCCGUGAAUCGCAUUAAACGUUAAUGCUUAUAUAUUAAUAUAUUAAUCGAGCAGCUGAAUGUGGAAACUGAACGAUUCAGCAGCGGCUCUAUGCCAGGAUUUUGCAACGCUAUUAAUCAAAUAAUAAAUAAGUUUGGAUAACUUUCGUAGCACGAUGGUUGAAAAUUGAACCUGUUUCAUUAGCGAUUAAUUUAUUGAUAAUGCGGGGGUGGGAAUUUAACUGUUCAACGCGAAUCAUGGAAUUUUGUGGACUAAAAAUGUGCGAAAAGAUCGAAUGUUCGAUGCUACGCUGAAAGAAGAACGAGCCUCUUCAAAAUCCUUAGUGGAUAUGCACUUACGUUGUUAGAAAAAUCAAAGAAGAUUGUAAAAUAGAGAAAGAUGCGUGGAAAGAUUCAACUACAUUGAAUAUGGUACUGGUUGAGUGGGUUUCUGAAUGAUUAUUGCGCAGAAUGAUGAUCGAAAGUUUUAGGUUUGAUAUUGCAGCAGUUAAAUAUAGCACUAUAAUAUUUAAUUUCGCAUGUGUCUAUAAAUGAAAAUUUUGAUAGUUUCUUAUUUUGUAUGUCUCUAGAUUUACACUAAUUUAGAGAAUACAUAACAACAAUAGAAUAAAAUGUUCAGUUUUGUAGAUUUCUAAAGAUUUUAUACAUUAAAAUGGAAGAUCUCAAAAAAAAAAAAAAAAAAAAAAAAAAUUAGAGAGAUUUUCAAAUUGUUAGACACGUUUCCAACAAAAUUAAGAAUUCUGGAGUUCCACAAGUUUCUUCGACCAUUACACUUCAAGGCUUCGGAAUGCAAAGUCCUAUUCAAUAAGAAUUGCACGUUCCAAAAUUCCAAAUUUAUGAUUCGGUAUUUUUAUUUAACGUAAGCACCAUCGUGCCCUCUGUCGCCGAUAUUAACUCUGUCUAUUUUUCAAACAACAGAAACCAUCUUUUUCACUUCAACACACAAGCGAGAUUACCAAAAUCUAACUCUUUAAAGAAGGACGAAACUUGUGUUCGCGAAACUUAGUUUCCAAUCUUUGCUUUCCCAAAUCGGACUUCUUUUAACUCCACGCAAAGUAUUACGAUACACUAGCUUCGGAAGGAGCAAGAGCCCGGAACAGAACGAACAUCAACUCAGAAAAGAUACUCUGUGUCGCGAGCAUCUGGCCAACAGUCGCCACCUCGUUUGGAAUUAAGUGGCCUCUGAAAUGGAAGCAUAUUUUUCGGUUGUUCGGCAACGAACGGCCGAACUUUCGCGGCGAUAUUACGCGGUACAUACGUUAUCCAAACUUUUCUGGAUUACAGCGGCUUUUUCCAGACCUGGUCGUGUAAAAAAUGUAUCACCGUUAUGGAAGGUGCGCGUACACGCAGCCAAUGUCAGUGCCUAGAUUUUAUCGCGGAUAAUAUGGUUACGUCGUUGUUACUAAGCCGCCUUACUUCUUAAGAAUCUGUGGGCUGUGCAUACGUUAUUCGUGCUCUGUGACGUUACAGCUGGAAAGGAAAGUUUGCAUUGAAUUGUUCUCCGAAUAGAUGUAGAAGAUUAUCCCACUCGAGCUUUGUUCGGAUUUCUAAAAUCCAUUCGGCACGUUCAAAGAAUUUUCAAAAAAGGUUCAAGUAACUUGAACGACGCAGAAACCUGUAUGACGAAACCUGUAAAUCUGUGAAUCCAUUAUAUAAGUUAAGAACA